UGGACGACAGAGCCAGCUGAGCCUUUAACACAUCUGAUGCGUGGAUUUGCACCGUUGGAUCAUCGGUCGUGCAAGCAUCGUCCAAGGACUGUCGUUCGUCAAGUAGUUUAUUCUUCCACGCCGCCGCAUGCCGCCUUCGCUGCCACGCCGCCGCGCGCCGUCAACCCCGUCGGCGCUCCUCCCCCUGUCCCAAGUGCCCCCACCCCCGCGGCCUUCCACCGCCGACGACACUCAAUGUUGCAGCCGUUGCCGGCUCCCCCCGUCCCUGCUACCACGGCGCCGCCGGGACUCCUCCCCACUGCUUCCACCUCGGCAAUGGUUCCCCCAACCCCGCCGGCUUCGCCAUACCGGCGCGCUCCACCACCCGUUGGACCCAUCUGCCUGGCUCCCACACCCGCAUCUCAUCUCCAACCCAGCGCCCACUCAGAUGCGGCGGCCGCCGCCGCUCAACAGCAGGGCCUGCUGAACACGUGCUCCCGUCGCCGCCUCCUCAGCCUAACAAAGCCACACCGAGGACUCUUCCUCGGAGCCUCCUCCUGCUCAUGGUUCAUCGGGCCCGCGCCUCCCUUGCGGUGGCGACACGGCUGAGGGCGCAGCCAGCAAGGGUGUCGUCUAGGGGUGGCGGGGAAGUUGCUGGCGGGCGAGCUCUGCCUGUUAGACGCGUGGAUGGGAGGGGUCCAGGAGCCACUACGACAACCAGGAGAGUCUUCCUAGAGAGCGAGGACUCGCGCGACAGCAGCGGCGACGAGCCCGACGGUCUUGCCGACCUCACCCACCUCACCGAUAAGUUCUAGGUAUGUACGUUGUGCACCCCAUUCUGCCCACCCCUUGUUGUUGCAGGCUUCCACCGUCUGCUGGUGUGACUUUCUUUUGUGUUCACGACCAUACUUUUCCCCAAAUUGUGUUCGCAGCUUGGCAGGUUGGAUAGGUAACUGGCUGCUACCAUAUGAAUUAUUACUGCUUCUGAACCUCUGAUCAGUAUAGGUUGGAGGAACAUCUCUGAAUCACAUGUAUAGCAACUACUGAAUUUGCUGUUACUACCGUACCAGCUUCUUCCAAGUAAAUUAUUGGUUAGCAAUUAUGAUGUUCUAGCCUGUUGGGAUCACAAUGCAUGAUAACACAACCAAAAAAUUGAUAUGUCUGGUAUGUUUGAUCUGAUUUUACUCCAUGACCACAGCGCAGAACGAAAAUCUAUGAUAACCUCUUGCUGACACCUUGCCAUGUGCGCCAUUAUCAAGCCUGAUUCAAAGAAGGCAGUCAGUUUUCUAUUUUGCUCAUUUAUUUUACCCAGAAUAGUAAUUGGGUUAACUUAACUUACUGUAUCGGUUUAUGCUGGAGCUGACAUUCCGUGCCUUUCAUUUUAGAUGUACACAAGCAAGAAAACUGCAGACGAGAAGGAAAAUAAGUUUCUCUCCGUGGUUCACUUGCCGUUGUUCUCUGUCCACGAGACAGAGCUUCAGUCUCUCAUAACUCGUAAUAGGUCGAUGUACUAUCACCUGCAUCCGUCAUCUACUCGUGGAGCUCUUGAGAUACUUCAGAUACAACACAAUGGCCUACGUGUCCAAAUGUCAGGGUUAUAUUCAACAAUUGUAGAAAGCUGUAGAAAAUAUAAUACACAAUUUUUUCUUGCAUAUAUAGAUUUACUUGAUAUUUUUAGUGAUCAAACAAUUUGGUAUUCAGUGUUUACUUGAAUAUUUUAUAUUGAUUUCUAGCAAUGUUCAGUAACAGAGCAAUGGACUGAGAGACAUUCUCAGUGUGUUGUAGUUUCCAUGCUAUGUUAUCAGGAGGGAGACCCUACGUCUAAUUAGUCACGGAUAAUAUGUCGAGCCGUGGCACCAUCCAGCUACAAGAGUCGGCCGCCCAGGACGGCAAUGUCGGCAAGAUACUCCACAGGACAGAGGACAAGGGGAAAGAGUACGACAAUAUUGUGAGAUCAAGAGUUAUGAUUUGUGAGGGAACAAAUAAUUUUCUUGAUCUUUGUGUUGACGAGAUGGCGGCUUUCCUAGGGUGGCAUUGUGUCCGAUGGGGGCAGGGUUGCACCAUGGGGAACUGUGAAUGCCAUUUGGGUUGGAAGAAUACAAUCAAUGAUGGAUUGACACAGACCUUUGUCGAGUUAAAACAUGAAGAAUAUUGAUAUUUUUCUAAUACAAUUCCUGCAUGAUGAUGUAUCUUUCACCUUUGACAAAUUUUUUGCAUGAAAAGGCAGUGGCAUUGAUGAUGGGCAGGAAUGGUGGUUGCGCUGUAGUGAAACAUGUGUUGUGGAUGGUCCCUAUAGACGAUACAGGAUGACGCCAAGUCGCCAACCAUCAUUACAAGUUUGCUGAAUUAGAAAUACGAAGAGAAGUGGCAAUACAGAUAAACCGCUAGAAAGUAUGAGCUCCUGAAUGUCCUGGAAUUUAGUAGCUCAUGAAAAUGGAUGUGCCUUUGAGUGAAGGAACCAGAGGGGAGGAUACCUGUUAAAGAAUUUGAGGAAGAGACUGGAAGUCUGUUUUAUCCAUGUGUACCGGCUAGAAGAUAAUUUGAGGAAGAGAUUAAAAGGCACAUAAAUCAAUAUUCUGAUUCUGGUGUAAGAACGUUGGUUCUUGUAUACCUUGUCUUACAUGAGAAAGAGUAUGCGGUUGAUGAAUACUUCAGCACUUCCAAACCAUCUGGACGUGCAGAGGCAGGCUAAUCUAUGACAUUCUGCCAUUUUAUACAAUCAUGUUUGCUUCAUGCAUGAUCAAUCUACAUCAUUUCUCCCAUAUGAAGUCCCUUUGAGUCAAAGAGGCUCUAUAAAUCUGUGUUUUCUCAAACUUAACUACUACUUAACUUGUAAUCUGAAAUUAGAGAUUGUGGCACACGAUGCUGAAGUUUGACCUUGGCCAUCGGGAAGAAGUUGUGCGGUGUGACAUUAUGAGAAUUGGCAAGCAGACUCCUCUCCAGCUGAGCUUGUCACGAGAUUGUGCUUGCUGGCAUCAAGCUAUGGACUUGCUAGAAAAAGAUAUAAUGGUGUGUUUGGUGCUUAUACGAGGCCCCAGAAGAUGAUUAUAUGUACUACUUUAUUUUAUUCUUUGUGUUUUUCUGUAUAUUGCCAAACAGAUUUAGAGCAUAGCCAUUGCAUUAUGUGGUAUCUGUGUGUGUUCCCUACAUUUUUUGUAUGUUGAUAAACAUGGAAACACGCUGUCAGAGUGGGUCAGUUUGUAUAUCUGAGUGUCUACACAUGAAUCUUGACUAUAUAUAGCAAUAUGGGCACAAGAACCCUUUAAUUUU